rnacentral:rRNA from 1 species
GACGAACGCUGGCGGCGUGCUUAACACAUGCAAGUCGAACGAUGAAGAAAAGAAUCGAAGCUUCGGCAGAAAUUCAUUUCGGAUUAGUGGCAGACGGGUGAGUAACGCGUGAGCAACCUACCUCUUACAAAGGGAUAGCCUCGGGAAACCGGGAUUAAUACCAUAUAACAUUGUGACGAAGCAUUUCGAUGCAAUCAAAGCUACGGCGGUAAGAGAUGGGCUCGCGUCCCAUUAACCGGAUGGUGAGGUAACGGCUCACCAUAGUGACGAUGGGUAACCGGCCUGAGAGGGUGAACGGUCACACUGGAACUGAGACACGGCCCAGACUCCUACGGGAGGCAGCAGUGGGGAAUAUUGCACAAUGGAGGGAACUCUGAUGCAGCGACGCCGCGUGAGUGAUGAAGGAAUUCGUUUCGUAAAACUCUGUUCUAUGGGAAGAAAAGGACUGUACCAUAGGAGAAAGCUCCGGCUAAAUACGUG